AUUCUACAAUGACUUUUUUGUAAAUACUUGAUUCAUUCGAGGGUUAUCACAUAUGGCAUUCUGUUGGAAGCCCUAGCGGAAUCUCAAAUGAAAAUUCUCUCAAAACAACUACGUUCAUCCCGUUCCCCCUUGCUCUCUCUCCGAUUUCACAGAACCUGUCUCUCUCUCUCACACACACUCUCUCUCUCUCUCUCCACAAAGACCCGUUGCUCUACGAGAAAGGUCGUCAAAUCGCAAUGCAGGGUGAUAUAGAUCGAGCCGGGGAAGGUCGUCAGGAAGUGCGAGAAGAUUGAGGAGAUCCUCAGGGCUGCCUCAGAAGUUGAGGUGUACGUGAGGUUUGAGUGACUCUUUUUUGCUAAGAAAUUGGGGCUGUUGAGAAUCAUCAUGUUGCCCUCUUGGAUGCUCAAUUUACUAUGUGAGCCAAGAAGAGGGCAUUCAAGUCAGGGAGGUGGGCAAUGAUGUAAAGACUUGAUGAGGCUUAUGUCCUACAACACAAGCUGUCUUCGAAAUCAUCCUCACCCAUGAACAAAGCUCUCUCCAAGAGCUCUAGCACAACAUCUUAUCGAUUUAACGGGAACAAAGCUCUCCCUAUCCAAAAGUUUAAGGGCCACGAUAAUCCUCACCUUAUCAUUAGCAACAACCAACAACCUUCUUAUUGACUGGUAACUUUGUAAUCCUAAUAUGUUAAGUAGGCAUUGAUUAUGAGCCGCAAUUUAUUCAAUCAAGGUGUCUAUUUUUAAGCGCAACUCCUACUAUGUCAAGAGAAUUAUCCUAUGGCUUUUAAUUUUAUCUGAGGCUUA